AUGGCCGACGCGGGUCAGAGUGUAGUAUCUGUUCUUAUCAGCUUAAUAUCUGAUACGGGUUGUAUUUGGACCCAAGAUAUUAAACUUAUUUUUGCAAGUUGGUGGAGUGCUUUAAAUCCUGAUUCACCCCCAAGCGGGUCGGCCCUGGUAUUGCACUAUCUUCGGGGUUUUUGGUCUACGGACA